CUGCUGCCUUCCGUAGGAGUCUGGUCCGUGUCUCAGUACCAGUGUGGGGGACCUUCCUCUCAGAACCCCUACGCAUCGUCGCCUCGGUGGGCCGUUACCCCGCCGACUAGCUAAUGCGCCGCAUGCCCAUCCCCCGCCGGAAUCGCUUCCUUUGGCCGCAGACCCAUGCAGGUCCGCGGCGUUACGCGGUAUUAGUCGGGAUUUCUCCCGGUUAUCCCCUGCGGGGGCAGGUCGCAUACGUGUUACUCACCCGUGCGCCGGUCGCCGG
rnacentral:rRNA from 1 species